CGGGACGCGUUUCAGCGUUCACAGCAGUUAGCCAACGUGAUGUGGGAGAGAUGGAUAAAGGAGUAUGUUCCCUCGCUAAAUCAGAGGACAAAAUGGUUCGGCGAGACUAGACCGUUGAAAUCUGGAGAUUUGGUGUACGUCGUGGAAGGUAACAGCCGAAAGUGCUGGAUUCGAGGAGUGGUGGAGGAACCCAUCGUGUCAGGUGACGGACGGGUUCGACAGGCAUGGGUGCGAACGAAAAGCGGAAGGUUCAAGCGAGCGACAGCGAAACUAGCAGUGAUGGAGAUUCAAGAAGGUAACUCUGAGCCGGAUAGCACUCCUGGGACAGGGUUACGGGCCGGGGAAUGUUCUGGCCACACUGGUUAUGUUUCAGCCGCGUCGCUGCAUGCUUGAAUACCAAGAAAUGUCAGUGGGUUAAGGCGUAGAAAUGACAGAAAGAAAAGUGUUGGAGCAUAGAAGCAUAGAAAAAUUGUAAACAAACAGAUACUGUAAAAGCAGGAAGGUAAAAAGAGAUUCUGGCGUGGUUAAAGAUAGAAUUUACGGGAGAUUAGUAGAAAAUUUGAUAGUAAAAGUGAAGUUCGGAAAGAUAGAUCAGUUGGAAGUGAAAGAUAGUGUUGCAUCGUUGGUAAUAAUUCAGGCAGUUUAAGGUUGGGGAAAUCGCAUGCAAGGAAAAACUAGAUUUUUGAAGCUGUUUAAAGUGAAACUGCUGUUCGAAACUGUUUUUACUUGUCUUGGCCGAAAACGUGAAACCCAACA